rnacentral:lncRNA from 1 species
GUUUGAUGAAUGAAUAACUUAAAAAUAUGUAUAAAAGUGAAACUGAAAUUGAUAUUGGAUCGAAUACAACAUGGGUGAACCCGACUACGCAAGUCUAUACAGUUGAGUAGAAACCCUCCACUGCCGACAAUAGAACUCGGAGAAAAAUGCUUCACACAUUUCGAUCAAACUUCCUCAUUUUACUCCCUUCAGAUCCUCUGGCUAUUUUCUUAGAGCGGAAAGGAGAGUGUCGUACGUGCCAGUUUUUUGAAUUACAACGUACACCUAGACUUGACAAUAAAAAGGAAGAAGAAGAAAUCCAUCAGUGAUGUGUGUAUUUAUCCCAGAGGAUCCUUGUUCUCCAGGACCACUGGCUUCCAUGUUCUCCUAAAGGACAUUACACUAUAGAAAAGGAUUGGAUGAUUGGUAUUCGAUACCAAAAGGGGCCCUGUGGCAGUUUCCUUGGUUGACUGAGUCGAAUUCUCACAACUCAAUUGAGCCAAUUCGUAUUAUGGGCGGAGUCGGACUCUCACAGAGCAAGGAACGAACUAACGUAACUCCCCUGGAGAAGAGUAUGAUUUUAUACCUUGGGCUAUCUGUAAACGCUUCGAAGGAUUGAUGUAGUCUAAUUAUCACAAAACGUCAAUCCAACAGACAUGAGUCCCAUGGAGGAGGUUUAGAGUCGAUCCCUGAAAAAGUUGGGAUCCCAUACCCACGACCAUUAGGAAUGACAGGAUAAGGCUUCCACAUAUGAAGGAUCAACCCUACUUGAGCCCCAGAGAAGGUUGACAUCCCAUACCCACGACUAUCUGUUACGACUUCCGGGGAAGGGCGGGAUCCUCUUUAUUUACUCUCUUGUUGGAGGAUAUAUCAAUUAACAACGUAUAGUUUGUAAAUAAUGUAUUAGUAUUUUUUCUUGAUCUGAGAGAAAUUUAUAAAAUAUAUGAGGAGUAAUUAUUAUUCCUCACCUUUAUUAUUGA